GGUGGACUUAGCUUAAGUGGUAAAGCAACCUUUAGUGAAGGUCGUUGCAGGUUCGAAACCCGCAGGCCACCC
rnacentral:tRNA from 1 species